UACGUAGGGUGCGAGCGUUGUCCGGAAUUACUGGGCGUAAAGAGUUCGUAGGCGGUUUGUCGCGUCGUUCGUGAAAACUUGGGGCUUAACUCCAAGCGUGCGGGCGAUACGGGCAGACUUGAGUACUGCAGGGGAGACUGGAAUUCCUGGUGUAGCGGUGAAAUGCGCAGAUAUCGGGAAGAACACCUAUGGCGAAGGCAGCUCUCUGGGACGGUACUGACGCUGAGACGCGAAAGCGUGGGGAGCGAACAGG
rnacentral:rRNA from 1 species